AUUGCUUCUCAGUCUUUUGGCUAAGAUCAAGUGUAGUAUCUGUUCUUAUCAGUUUAAUAUCUGAUACGUCCUCUAUCUGAGGACAAUAUAUUAACUGGAUUUUUGGAGCUGGAAGAUGGAAUAGGGGCUUGCUCUGUCCACUCCACCCAUCAACCUGGUAUUACACUACCACCAGGAAUGGUGUACACCCA
rnacentral:snRNA from 1 species